GACAGAGGGUGCAAACGUUGCUCGGAAUCACUGGGCGUAAAGGGCGUGUAGGCGGGAAGGAUAGUCAGAUGUGAAAGCCCUGGGCUCAACCCAGGAACUGCAUUUUGAAACUCCCUUUCUUGAGUGUCGGAGAGGAAAGCGGAAUUCCUGGUGUAGAGGUGAAAUUCGUAGAUAUCAGGAGGAACACCGGUGGCGAAGGGCGGCUUUCUGGGACGACAACUGACGCUGAGGGCGCGAAAGACGUGGGAGCAAACAGG
rnacentral:rRNA from 1 species